UUCCGCAAUGGACGAAAGUCUGACGGAGCAACGCCGCGUGAGUGAUGACGGCCUUCGGGUUGUAAAGCUCUGUUAAUCGGGACGAAAGGCCUUCUUGCGAACAGUUAGAAGGAUUGACGGUACCGGAAUAGAAAGCCACGGCUAACUACGUGCCAGCAGCCGCGGUAAUACGUAGGUGGCAAGCGUUGUCCGGAAUUAUUGGGCGUAAAGCGCGCGCAGGCGGAUCAGUCAGUCUGUCUUAAAAGUUCGGGGCUUAACCCCGUGAUGGGAUGGAAACUGCUGAUCUAGAGUAUCGGAGAGGAAAGUGGAAUUCCUAGUGUAGCGGUGAAAUGCGUAGAUAUUAGGAAGAACACCAGUGGCGAAGGCGACUUUCUGGACGAAAACUGACGCUGAGGCGCGAAAGCCAGGGGAGCGAACGGGAUUAGAUACCCCGGUAGUCCUGGCCGUAAACGAUGGGUACUAGGUGUAGGAGGUAUCGACCCUUCUGUGCCGGAGUUAACGCAAUAAGUACCCCGCCUGGGGAGUACACCGCAAGGUUGAAACUCAAAGGAAUUGACGGGGGCCCGCACAAGCGGUGGAGUAUGUGGUUUAAUUC
rnacentral:rRNA from 1 species